rnacentral:rRNA from 1 species
UUUCCGUAGGUGAACCUGCGGAAGGAUCAUUACCGAAACGAUAUGCUUACAGCAAGCAUUGUGUUGGUCGUUGAAACACUGUGUCGGCAGAACGCAGUCGCAUUGUCCCAAAGGUGGAGAACCGAAAAAAUGUGGUGCAUGGUGACAUUAUUGUGUGGUGAACACAAAAACUCUAGCAAAACUGGCAUAACGUGCGCCGUCGCAUACAUGUUAUGCGGCGGUAAAUGAACGAGACAACCAAAAUUGCAUACUCGUUGAAACUUCGGGGUACCUUUCGGGUUGUCGAUUGACCGUAAUUGUCGGCAAAGCCCCCCGGUGAGCAGGUCGCGGGAGUUCCCCGCGACUUUGCGAAGGUUCAAAGAAUCGCUUUCGUUGCUGCUCCUCGUCGGUUCGCCGGCGUGCGGAUGCGGAGCGAUCGCCCCGAAGCCAUGUUUUUUGUCUUUCGUACGGUUGCUAUCCGACGCCUGCCGUUCGACGGAGACCGCCCCGGUCGUCUGGGGUGGACGAAGUCGUGCCGGUACGGCGCUGCCACAGUGUGAUAACGUUAUACAACUCUAAGCGGUGGAUCACUCGGCUCGUGUGUCGAUGAAGAGCGCAGCCAGCUGCGUGAAGUAAUGUGAAUUGCAGGACACAUUGAACAUCGAUAUCUUGAACGCACAUUGCGGCCUCGGGUAUUCCCGAGGCCACGCCUGUCUCAGGGUCGGUUGAACUUAUCUAUCGUCGGUUGACCGUAACUGCCGACGCAUUGGAUUGUCGCGGAGCGCUGACCGAAAAGGCGCGAUCGGCUGACCUCAAUUACCGAUCGUGCUGCGCGCCACGUCGUCCGAAGUACAGACGGGUCUGCCUAUGCUUUGCCGACCGCACGUCCUAAAUCCGCCCUUGCGGACGGGGACGGCGACUCGGACCGUAAGAGAAGCCGUCGCCUGUUGCUCUGGCGGUACGGUUGGCUCAGCGGUGGCGGACCCACGAACGAGAAGACGUGCUGUAGGCGGCGAAGCGAUUCGUCGUCGUCGGCCGUCAUCUUCUUCUUCGACCUGAGAUCAGACGAGAUUACCCGCUGAAUUUAA